rnacentral:lncRNA from 1 species
UCUCUACAAAUCAAUAUUGGGGUGAGAAGCUGCAGGACCCUGCACUUCUUCAAUCAUCCAUUGGGGCACGUGAUUUAAUAAACUUGUGAUUUGCUGUUCCAUUGUCUGGGUGAGAAGCAGCUAAUGGAAGGAAGUCAUGGAAUUAUUGUUUCAACGACUUUUUCCGUCUGUACUCCACUGGGAUCCUGCCGCUUAGUCGGUUGUAGCGAAGCGACAGCAACGACAGCACAAGAUAGCUCCCAAAAUUUACUGGCACGUAACCUUCGAUUUUGUUAAAACCCAAAUCAAGGGCGACGAGCUCUCCACCGCCAUUGCGCUCCGGGAUCUCGACACCUGUCAGGUUGUUAUUCACCAAGUCAACUUGCUGGAUAGACGGGAGGAGAAAGAACUAGAGCAUCUGAAGUCUGAACUCUCUCUCUCCCUCCGCUGUCAACUCUCUUAGUCUCGCAGUCAACUCGGACAAGGGAAACAGCUAAGAAGCUUGUGGGCAUUUCAUUGCAUCCAUAACUAGCAAGAAUGAUGAUGUUGAAAAUAGAGCAAGCUUGUGCGAAUACUAUUGUUUUAUGCGCUGGAUCCCAUUGUUUUUUAUGAAGGAGAGAAACCGCCUGGUAGAGAGAUUCUAGAAACAUCUGCAAGAAAUCUCCUUCUCAGUGAUGGGACUAAAGUUGCUGUCAAGAACAAAGAAGGAGUGGAGACAGCGCAGGAGCCAGCAUUACACACCACUUGGCCUUACGGAUCAAGGACAGAGAAUGAGUGGAGAGAUAAAGAAUAGCAAAUGGUCAUUGAGGUGGGGUUUCUGAAGACAAAGAAAUGGAGUGGGAGGCCAUGUUCUUUACGUUAUUUACAUUUUUUACAGCUGGAGUACACCAUCUUGUGUUCAAACAGCAGAAACCAGGCCGAAAGAGAAAGGCAGUGGCGGACAAAGCAAAAGGAAAAGAGAAAGAAAAGGGAAAGUAAAAGCAAAAGCAAGUGAGUGUGUCUGGAAGUGGAGAGAUCAAGGAGGGAACAGAAAAGAAAAAGGGAGAAUCAUGGGGAACACAUGGUGGGCAACACAAAAAGAGAAGAGAAAAAGGAAGGCUCCC